rnacentral:rRNA from 1 species
UACGAAGGGGGCUAGCGUUGCUCGGAAUUACUGGGCGUAAAGGGCGCGUAGGCGGACCUGUCAGUCAGGCGUGAAAGCCCAGGGCUCAACCCUGGAACUGCGCUUGAUACUGCGGGUCUAGAGUGCCGGAGAGGAUGGUGGAAUUCCCAGUGUAGAGGUGAAAUUCGUAGAUAUUGGGAAGAACACCGGUGGCGGAGGCGGCCAUCUGGACGGCAACUGACGCUGAGGCGCGAAAGCGUGGGGAGCAAACAGG